rnacentral:lncRNA from 1 species
CAAUAAGUUUCAAAAGUAAAUAACGUUGGGGUGGGUGAAAGAUUACCUGUCAUUAAUAUACUAAGAAUCGUAAAAAGUUGGAAAUUCUCUUUCUCUUCUCAACAAAAUAUCCUUCGCCACGGGUUGCCAUCCUACUGUUGAUGUUGAGCUUGAUAGAAUUGGGCUCCAUGGGUGUCAUCGGGGGCGGGGCCUCCCGGAAUGGGCGCAGAGUUGGCUGCACGGGAGUGUUCGGGAGGGUGUUCAACUUGUCACGAUCGACACAAGGGACAAGUGGAAGGUCGGACUCUUUAAAACGGCAACUUUCGCGACGGCCCUCCAUCCGCCUAACGGAACUCAAAUUUAAUCCUGGGGACACGGUACUAUUCUCCGUCCUCAACCCACUCAGCGCACCCUCUUCACCUUACCACAAGAUGUUCGCUAUAUCGUCCGACGAGCUGUUUGAAGUCGCCGGUUUCGCAUAUCGGACGAAGCCGUACAUCACGAAACGUGACAACUUCGGUGCUUUAAUCAAGGCCAGUGUCAUCAAACCGAGGCCCAACAUACCUAGUUUCAUAGAAAAAGGGGUGAUGAUAGCUCGCAGAAUGGUCGGCGUCAAGGUGACUUAUUGGUAUAGACAUUGCAAUUGUUACCAUUACACCGACUACCUAACGUAUGGACAGACGUUUGGAUCAUCGGAUAAUUAUUUUUACCAGCCUGCGAGCGAUGAUUGUCCAGUUUUCGCUACGAUCACAUCUGAGACGGACGUCUCAUCUCCUGGAUUUACACUGAAAACCAAAAAAAGGCAAGCCAGUCAUACUCAAACCCUUACCUGACGAAUGAUGGUGGCUGCUCAAGUAAAUGAAAACAACUUGAAUGGUUCGCAACAUCGAAGACUCCGUCGUGGAAACCUGCUAAUUCCAACAGCUAAGGAUAUCUAAAGAAUAUAAUCAAAGAUUGUCAAAUACCCCCCCCCCCCUUGAAAUGGCUUUGUGACUAAAGUUGCCACUUGUUAAAAUCGAAAGCUAUUCAACAAUGAUAUCACACAAGGAAAAUACAAGGAAUUAUUGAAAAAUUCGAAAUAGAAAAUUAUUGUCUUACUUAAUUUUCAGUAGUAGUCAUCAUACACUGAAAAAAAAAUUGCUAUUAUCAACACAGAAUUAGUUAAAAAAGGUG